GUGGGGAAUCUUGCGCAAUGGGCGAAAGCCUGACGCAGCCAUGCCGCGUGAAUGAUGAAGGUCUUAGGAUUGUAAAAUUCUUUCACCGGGGACGAUAAUGACGGUACCCGGAGAAGAAGCCCCGGCUAACUUCGUGCCAGCAGCCGCGGUAAUACGAAGGGGGCUAGCGUUGCUCGGAAUUACUGGGCGUAAAGGGCGCGUAGGCGGACAGUUUAGUCAGAGGUGAAAGCCCAGGGCUCAACCUUGGAAUUGCCUUUGAUACUGGCUGUCUUGAGUACGGGAGAGGUGAGUGGAACUCCGAGUGGAGAGGUGAAAUUCGUAGAUAUUCGGAAGAACACCAGUGGCGAAGGCGACUCACUGGCCCAAUACUGACGCUGAGGCGCGAAAGCGUGGAGAGCAAACAGGAUUAGAAACCCUAGUAGUCC
rnacentral:rRNA from 1 species